rnacentral:tRNA from 1 species
GCCGCGGUAGCUCAGCUGGUAGAGCGGCGCAUUCGUAAUGCGUAGGUCGGGGGUUCGAAUCCCUUCCGCGGCACCA